rnacentral:rRNA from 1 species
AUGUCUUCUUGAUUUUUAAUAAGAAGUUUAGCCUGCUCACUGAUAUUAUUAAAGAGCUGCAGUAUUUUGACUGUACAAAGGUAGCACAAUCAUUAGUUUUUUAAUUGAGGACUGGUAUGAAAGGUUAGACAAAGUGUUAUUAUUUUAAUUUUAUUAUCUAAAUUUUUCUUUUAUGUGAAAAGACAUAAAUAUAAAUAAGGGACAAGAAGACCCUUUAAAUUUUACUUGUAUAAUAAAUUAUUGUUUUUACUAUCAAAGUAAAAUUUAUUGUAUAGGUUUGUCUGGGGCGGAAGGUAUAAUUUAUCUAUAUUAUUUAUAAAUUUAACUAAGAGAUCUCUUUUGAUCCUAAUAGAAAGAUUAAAGAAAAAAAUUACUGAAGGGAUAACAGCGUAAUGUUUUUAAGAGUUCUGAUUGAAUAUAAUGUUUGCGA